AUUGAACGCUGGCGGCAGGCCUAACACAUGCAAGUCGAACGGUAACAGGAAGCAGCUUGCUGCUUCGCUGACGAGUGGCGGACGGGUGAGUAAUGUCUGGGAAACUGCCUGAUGGAGGGGGAUAACUACUGGAAACGGUAGCUAAUACCGCAUAACGUCGCAAGACCAAAGAGGGGGACCUUAGGGCCUCUUGCCAUUGGAUGUGCCCAGAUGGGAUUAGCUAGUAGGUGGGGUAACGGCUCACCUAGGCGACGAUCCCUAGCUGGUCUGAGAGGAUGACCAGCCACACUGGAACUGAGACACGGUCCAGACUCCUACGGGAGGCAGCAGUGGGGAAUAUUGCACAAUGGGCGCAAGCCUGAUGCAGCCAUGCCGCGUGUAUGAAGAAGGCCUUCGGGUUGUAAAGUACUUUCAGCGGGGAGGAAGGGAGUAAAGUUAAUACCUUUGCUCAUUGACGUUACCCGCAGAAGAAGCACCGGCUAACUCCGUG
rnacentral:rRNA from 1 species